GGAGAGGUGGCUGAGUGGUCGAAAGCGGUAGAUUGCUAAUCUAUUGAAGGGGUAUUACCCCUUCCGCGGGUUCGAAUCCCGCCCUCUCCGCCA
rnacentral:tRNA from 1 species